AGAACGAACGCUGGCGGCAGGCCUCAAACAUGCAAGUCUAGGGGGUGUAGCAAUACAUCACCGGCGGACGGGUGCGUAACGCGUGGGAAUAUACCUAUUGGUUCGGAACAACUGAGGGAAACUUCAGCUAAUACCGAAUGUGCCCGUAAGGGGAAAGAUUUAUCGCCAAUAGAUUAGCCCGCGUAGGAUUAGCUAGUUGGUGGGGUAAUGGCCCACCAAGGCUCCGAUCCUUAGCUGUUCUGAGAGGAAGAUCAGCCACACUGGGACUGAGACACGGCCCAGACUCCUACGGGAGGCAGCAGUUGGGAAUCUUGGACAAUGGGGGAAACCCUGAUCCAGCCAUGCCGCGUGAGUGAUGAAGGCCUUCGGGUUGUAAAACUCUUUCGACGGGGACGAUAUGACGGUACCCGUAGAAGAAGCUCCGGCUAACUUCGCGCCAGCACGCCGC
rnacentral:rRNA from 1 species